AACGAACGCUGGCGGCAUGCCUAACACAUGCAAGUCGAACGAGACCUUCGGGCCUAGUUGCGCACGGGUGCGUAACGCGUGGGAACCUGCCCUUAGGUUCGGAAUAACUCCCCGAAAGAGGUGCUAAUACCGGAUAAUGUCUUCGGACCAAAGAUUUAUCGCCUUUGGCUGGGCGCGCGUUGGAUUAGCUAGUUGGUAGGGUAAUAGCCAACCAAGGCCACGGUGCAUAGCUGGUCGGGGAGGAGGAUCAACCAAAAUUGGGAUGAGGCCCGGACCAGACUCGUACGGGAGGCAGCAGUGGGGAAUAUUGGACAAGGGGCGAAAGCCUGAUCCAGCCAUGCCGCGUGAGUGAGGAAGGCCUUAGGGUUGUAAAGCUCUCUUACCCGGGAUGAUAAUGACAGUACCGGGAGAAUAAGCGCCGGCUAACUCCGUG
rnacentral:rRNA from 1 species